UCCAGACUCCUACGGGAGGCAGCAGUGGGGAAUAUUGGACAAUGGGGGGAACCCUGAUCCAGCGACGCCGCGUGAGUGAAGAAGUAUUUCGGUAUGUAAAGCUCUAUCAGCAGGGAAGAAAGAAAUGACGGUACCUGACUAAGAAGCCCCGGCUAACUACGUGCCAGCAGCCGCGGUAAUACGUAGGGGGCAAGCGUUAUCCGGAUUUACUGGGUGUAAAGGGAGCGUAGACGGCGAUGCAAGUCUGAAGUGAAAGGCGGGGGCCCAACCCCCGGACUGCUUUGGAACUGUGUGGCUGGAGUGUCGGAGAGGCAGGCGGAAUUCCUAGUGUAGCGGUGAAAUGCGUAGAUAUUAGGAGGAACACCAGUGGCGAAGGCGGCUUACUGGACGAUGACUGACGCUGAGGCUCGAAAGCGUGGGGAGCAAACAGGAUUAGAUACCCCGGUACA
rnacentral:rRNA from 1 species